CGGUGUUCAGUCCCGGCCGGAAACGGAAGCAGCCAACAUGAGGCGAAAUCGGUCGGCACUAGCAGGCGUUCUGCUGACCUGUCUCCACCUCAGCUGCCAGGAGAGCGCAGAACGAGGGCCAUUCCACGGCUUCCUGCCGCAGUACAAGCUCAGGGCCAACGCCCCGACAGGGGACGACCACCCGAACGACGACCAACCUAACCUAACCUAACCUAACCUAACCUAACCUAACCUAACCUAACC